rnacentral:rRNA from 1 species
UACGUAGGCAGCAAGCGUUGUUCGGAGUUACUGGGCGUAAAGAGUGCGUAGGCGGUCCUGUAAGUUUGGUGUGAAAUCUCCCGGCUCAACUGGGAGGGUGCGCCGAAGACUGCAGGGCUUGAGUAUGGGAGAGGUAAGCGGAAUUCCUGGUGUAGCGGUGAAAUGCGUAGAUAUCAGGAGGAACACCAAUAGCGAAGGCAGCUCGCUGGGACGUUACUGACACUGAGGCGCGAAAGCGUGGGGAGCGAACAGG